AACUAUAACGGUCCUAAGGUAGCGAAAUUCCUUGUCAGGUAAGUUCUGACCCGCACGAAAGGCGUAACGAUUUGGGCGCUGUCUCAGCUGUAGACUCGGUGAAGUCUUAGUACCUGUGAAGAUGCAGGUUACCCGCGACUAGACGGAAAGACCCCAUGGAGCUUCACUGCAGGUUGAUAUUGGGAUUUGAUGCAGCAUGUACAGGAUAGGUAGGAGGCAAAGAGAUGGAUACGCCAGUAUUCAAGGAGCCGCUGUUGGGAUACUACCCCUGUUGUAUUGGAUUUCUAACCGGACGACGUAGAGCCGUUGACGGGACAGUGUCAGUCGGGCAGUUUGACUGGGGCGGUCGCCUCCCAAAGAGUAACGGAGGCGCCCAAAGAUACCCUCAGCUUGGAUGGAAACCAAGCGCAGAGUGCAAAGGCAAAAGGGUGUUUGACUGCGAGACCCACAAGUCGAGCAGGGACGAAAGUCGGGCUUAGUGAUCCGGCGGUGCUGAAUGGAAAGGCCGUCGCUCAACGGAUAAAAGCUACCCUGGGGAUAACAGGCUGAUCUCCCCCAAGAGUUCACAUCGACGGGGAGGUUUGGCACCUCGAUGUCGGCUCAUCGCAUCCUGGGGCUGUAGUCGGUCCCAAGGGUUGGGCUGUUCGCCCAUUAAAGCGGUACGCGAGCUGGGUUCAGAACGUCGUGAGACAGUUCGGUCCCUAUCUGUCGUGGGCGCAGGAUAUUUGAUGGGAGCUGUUCCUAGUACGAGAGGACCGGAGCGGACGUACCUCUGGCGCACCAGUUGUUCUGCCAAGGGCAUAGCUGGGCAACUAUGUACGGAUCGGAUAAACGCUGAAAGCAUCUAAGCGUGAAGCCGACCCAAAGAUAAGAUAUCCCAUUGUUUCAAACAAGUAAGACCCCUUGAAGACUACAAGGUUGAUAGGCACGAUGUGUAAGUGGAGUGAUCCAUUCAGCAAGCGUGUACUAAUAGGUCGAGGGCUUGACCAC
rnacentral:rRNA from 1 species